AUGAAUGCUGUAAAUGCUGUGCAGCUGUUCAUUCUGGUUUGGACCUUUACUGCUGUCUGUCAAGCUGAUGAAGAUAACAUUGUAAGCUGUGAUGAUGUGACUGGAUCUGUGGGGAAAGAAGUAACUCUCACCUGCAGCGCCUUUCUGCAGAUCACUGAAUGCUGCAUUAUAAUGUAUAAGUUUCAAUACCCUGAGAUCUUUAAUGACUCUGCAAUCUGUCGUCAAUAUUUUCCUUAUGACCCCUGUGAACAGAGAAACAGUUUCACAUGCAGCUACACUCCAACUACAGCGAUGACAGAACAAUUCAGAUUCUUUGUGCUAACAAUGUGUGGAGUGAAAGUAACAGAAUUCACGGUGGACAUUACAGAAGAACUCCUGGAGCAAACUACUGACACUGAAGCUCCUGACAAGAAAGGUAUUGUAAUUGAGGCCAUCGUCAUCACUGCUGUAAGCUGUUUCAUCAUCAUCAUCAUCAUCAUCAUCAUCAUCGUUACUGCAAUCAACUGUGUGAAGAAGUUCAAAAGCACCAACCCUUCUGGAUUACAGAAGAAAUAUGAAAGAGGUGUUUCUAAAGAACAAACAGUGAUGACCACAAAUGUUUAGAAAGAAACACUAUGAAAACAGUGAUUGAUUUUUUUUUUAUCUUUCAUGUAAAUAUCAUAGACGUGAUAAUGUCCAGUUUAACUAAAGAUGCUGAUCUGUAAAAUUCACAUACAGUGUCAGCAACAAUAACUGAUCAGUAUAUUGAAUCUUAUAUAUUGAGUCAAUAUUUGGCUGUGUUGAGAUUAUCUGCAUCAGAUAAUAAUUCUGCUCUUGUGUUUUCAAAGACUUUGAUGUAUUUGAAGUAAAUAAUGUGUAAACUAAGUGUUUUUGUUUGUUUGUUUUUUACAUUUUUGAGCAUCAUAUAGCUCCAUUGCAUAUGCCAUUGCAUUGAUAUAUUGUAUUUACAUUAUUAUUGUAUUUACUAAAUUGCUGUUCAAUUAUGAAAGUGUCAUGAUACUCUAAAGACUGUCUGAAAUCUCUUUUUAUCAUUUUUAAUAAAUUUGUCAUCAGUAAAGAGUGAGUUAUACCAGUGAAAAUGGUGCAAAUCAAAUUUGUGGUGAAUGGUAAAGUCUUUUGCUGGUGUCAGAUGAAUAAAAUGUUACUGUUGCAAUGCAUUCAUCUACCAGCAGAGAGCGUGUCCUGCUGCUAUGAAAUCAACUCUCUUUGACCAAUAUAAAUAUCACAUGAAAUCAUCACAGCACAAACAGCUAACAAGAGUAACCAAAAGAUAUCACAAUGGGUGAGGGUGAGCCUGUGACAGACAACCUGAAGCAACAUGGAAACACCUCGCUCGAGGCUCAACGGCAGAGGUUUGUAUUGUUUAUGAUGGAACAUUUUCAACAAACUGCAUUCAUAUUUUGACACGUGGUUUACCGACUCAAGGUGCAUUUAGAGCUGAUGCAAUCCAUUAAAAACCUGUUUACAUUUGAUGGAGAGAUUUUGACAUGACAGGUUCUCUCG
rnacentral:lncRNA from 1 species